rnacentral:rRNA from 1 species
UUGACCUCGGAUCAGGUAGGGAUACCCGCUGAACUUAAGCAUAUCAAUUAGCGGAGGAAAAGAAACCAACAGGGAUUGCCUCAGUAACGGCGAGUGAAGCGGCAAGAGCUCAAAUUUGAAAGCUGGCCCCUUCGGGGUCCGCAUUGUAAUUUGCAGAGGAUGCUUCGGGAGCGGCCCCCAUCUAAGUGCCCUGGAACGGGCCGUCAUAGAGGGUGA